rnacentral:tRNA from 1 species
ACCUGGCUGGCUCAGUCAGUAGAGCACAUGACUCUUGAUCUUGAGACUGUGGGUUCAAGCCCAAUGUUGGGUG